GAAAUGACUAUUACAUUGUGGGAGCAGGAAAUAAAAUAAUAAGGAGAAAGCACAAGAAUAUAAGAUUGAAUGGUAUGAGUACCUCUGACGAACUUGGGGAAGAAUAUCAUGAUCAAGAAAUUCCUUUUGUAAGAUUAGAAGAAAUUGCCCUUGCAACUCAUGAUUUCUCUGAAACAUGUAUUAUUGGAAAGGGAGGCUUCGGGAAAGUUUAUAAGGGAAUUUUAGGUGGUCAAGAAGUUGCAGUCAAGAGGCUAAGCAAAGAUUCUCAUCAAGAACACACGAAUUCAAGAACGAAGUAAUUUUAAUUGCCAAAUUGCAACAUAGAAACUUGGUUCGCCUUCUCGGAUGUUGUGGCGAGGGAAAUGAAAAGAUCCUAAUAUAUGAAUAUCUUCCUAACGGAAGCUUAGAUGCCAACCUCUUCGAUGAGUCCAAAAAAUUGUUGUUGAACUGGCGAACACGGUUUAGUAUAAUCAAAGGGGUUGCAAGGGGUCUUCUCUAUGUUCAUGAAGAUUCCAGGUUAACCAUAAUUCACAGGGAUCUCAAGGCUGGAAAUGUUUUGCUAGAUGCAGAUCUGAAACCUAAGAUAGCAGAUUUUGGUAUGGCGAGGCUCUUUGGUGAUAACCAACAAAAUGCAAACACCCAACGUGUUGUCGGAACAUAUGGCUACAUGGCCCCUGAGUAUGCACUGGAAGGCAUUAUCUCUAUGAAGUCCGAUGUCUAUAGCUUCGGCGUGUUACUACUAGAAGUUGUAACCGGUAUAAGGAGAAACUCUAAUGGUCACACGAUGAGUUUCCCUAGUCUAACAGUUUAUGCAUGGAAUAUGUGGAAGGAAGGGAAGACAGAGGAAUUGGCAGACUCGACUCUGCUGGAUAACUAUUCACCAGAUGAAGUUUUGCUCUGCAUCCAUGUGGGACUCAUGUGUGUCCAAGAAAACCCAGAUGACAGGCCACUCAUGUCAAAUGUUGUGUUUGCCUUGGAGAAUGGAAGCACAACACUUCCAACCCCCAACAUCCCUGCCUACUUUGCACGACGAAGCGCGGAAAUAGAGCAAAUCAGGGUCGAUAUUCAAAACUCUGUGAAUAGUUUUACUCUUUCAGAGAUACAAGGGCGGUGAAGUAAUUUUGAUUUAAUAUUAUAUGUACUGGAAAACUAUUAUAUUGCCAGGUGAAGAA